GUUUUAUAUGUCAUUAAAAGGCCCAGUUACUUUUUAGGGGAAAUUAAGAACCUACAGGUGGAAAUUACAGGUGGAAAUUAACUGCAGUGUUUACUUAGAUUUUUACCCUAAAAGUCCAAUUGUGUUUUGUUGUUAUUGAUGAUAGAUGAUUAUUGUGUUUGCAAGGUGAUAUCUUCCAUGAAAAAUCUGCCUAUCCUUUUAGGUAAAAAUUAGGGCUUCUAAACUAAAGCAUAUUCUAUGUUCUACAUUAGGGAUUGAAAAAGUAAGCAGUCUACUGCUGUCAUUAUUUUACCUGACUGUGCAUUUUGCUGGCCUAUAUGCACACUUUUCUGCCUUGGACAACUAUGGUUUUUAUAUUUAUUUGUGGCUUCAACUCAGCUUUAUGAAAAUUUCCUGCUGAAAUUACUUAUUGGGAAUUACAGGUGGAUUGCAGUUAUGCCACCACCAAGAAGUAACACCUUUUAAUAAUAAAUAUGUUCCCAAUGGGUGAGUUUUCAAUACUGCACUGAACA
rnacentral:lncRNA from 1 species